ensembl:lncRNA
GGUGUUACGGUACAGAGUCAAUGUGGAGGCUAUAUACAGGGUGUUACGGUACAGAGUCAAUGUGGAGGCUAUAUACAGGGGGUACUGGUACAGAGUCAAUGUGGAGGCUAUAUACAGGGGGUACCGGUACAGAGUCAAUGUGGAGGCUAUAUACAGGGGGUACCGGUACAGUGUCAAUGUGGAGGCUAUAUACAGGGGGUACCGGUACAGAGUCAAUGUGGAGGCUAUAUACAGGGGGUACCGGUACAGUGUCAAUGUGGAGGCUAUAUACAGGGUAUUACGGUACACAGUCAAUGUGGAGGCUAUAUACAGGGG